rnacentral:lncRNA from 1 species
GAGAGAAAGGGGUUGGCGAGGGUGUUGCGGCUUCUGUACAUAUUGAUGAAAACCUUACAAGAAUUGGUAGGAAGUCGUAAUCAAAUUCAUUUAAGAGAAAGGCUUCAAUUGUUCAUUACAUCACUAUCAUAGGCUCCAUAUGAUCAACACUAAUAUAUAUAUGUAUGUGUGUUCCUCUCAACCGUUUUAAUUGCAUGAGAGCCAAAUGCACGACAACAACUUAUCGCCCCUCGUACACGUAUGAUUUUGUUGCUCCACUUUGUUUUUCU